rnacentral:rRNA from 1 species
AUUGAACGCUGGCGGCAGGCCUAACACAUGCAAGUCGAGCGGUAGCACAGAGAGCUUGCUCUCGGGUGACGAGCGGCGGACGGGUGAGUAAUGUCUGGGAAACUGCCUGAUGGAGGGGGAUAACUACUGGAAACGGUAGCUAAUACCGCAUAACGUCGCAAGACCAAAGUGGGGGACCUUCGGGCCUCAUGCCAUCAGAUGUGCCCAGAUGGGAUUAGCUAGUAGGUGGGGUAACGGCUCACCUAGGCGACGAUCCCUAGCUGGUCUGAGAGGAUGACCAGCCACACUGGAACUGAGACACGGUCCAGACUCCUACGGGAGGCAGCAGUGGGGAAUAUUGCACAAUGGGCGCAAGCCUGAUGCAGCCAUGCCGCGUGUGUGAAGAAGGCCUUCGGGUUGUAAAGCACUUUCAGCGGGGAGGAAGGCGUUAAGGUUAAUAACCUUGGCGAUUGACGUUACCCGCAGAAGAAGCACCGGCUAACUCCGUGCCAGCAGCCGCGGUAAUACGGAGGGUGCAAGCGUUAAUCGGAAUUACUGGGCGUAAAGCGCACGCAGGCGGUCUGUCAAGUCGGAUGUGAAAUCCCCGGGCUCAACCUGGGAACUGCAUUCGAAACUGGCAGGCUAGAGUCUUGUAGAGGGGGGUAGAAUUCCAGGUGUAGCGGUGAAAUGCGUAGAGAUCUGGAGGAAUACCGGUGGCGAAGGCGGCCCCCUGGACAAAGACUGACGCUCAGGUGCGAAAGCGUGGGGAGCAAACAGGAUUAGAUACCCUGGUAGUCCACGCCGUAAACGAUGUCGAUUUGGAGGUUGUGCCCUUGAGGCGUGGCUUCCGGAGCUAACGCGUUAAAUCGACCGCCUGGGGAGUACGGCCGCAAGGUUAAAACUCAAAUGAAUUGACGGGGGCCCGCACAAGCGGUGGAGCAUGUGGUUUAAUUCGAUGCAACGCGAAGAACCUUACCUGGUCUUGACAUCCACAGAACUUUCCAGAGAUGGAUUGGUGCCUUCGGGAACUGUGAGACAGGUGCUGCAUGGCUGUCGUCAGCUCGUGUUGUGAAAUGUUGGGUUAAGUCCCGCAACGAGCGCAACCCUUAUCCUUUGUUGCCAGCGGUCCGGCCGGGAACUCAAAGGAGACUGCCAGUGAUAAACUGGAGGAAGGUGGGGAUGACGUCAAGUCAUCAUGGCCCUUACGACCAGGGCUACACACGUGCUACAAUGGCAUAUACAAAGAGAAGCGACCUCGCGAGAGCAAGCGGACCUCAUAAAGUAUGUCGUAGUCCGGAUUGGAGUCUACAACUCGACUCCAUGAAGUCGGAAUCGCUAGUAAUCGUAGAUCAGAAUGCUACGGUGAAUACGUUCCCGGGCCUUGUACACACCGCCCGUCACACCAUGGGAGUGGGUUGCAAAAGAAGUAGGUAGCUUAACCUUCGGGAGGGCGCUUACCACUUUGUGAUUCAUGACUGGGGUGA